GCGCAGCAGGCGAGAAACCUCCGCAAUACACGAAAGUGUGACGGGGCCAUCCCGAGUGCCGUCCGCUGAGGACGGCUUUUCCCCAGUGUACACAGCUGGGGGAAUAAGGAGAGGGCAAGCCUGGUGUCAGCCGCCGCGGUAAUACCAGCUCUCCGAGUGGUGGGGACGCUUAUUGGGCCUAAAGCAUCCGUAGCCGGCUGGGCAAGUCCUCCGCUAAAUCCAACGAUUCAAUCGUUGGGCUGCGGGGGAUACUGUCCAGCUUGGGGGCGGGAGAGGCCGACGGUAUUCCCGGGGUAGGGGUGAAAUCCUAUAAUCCCGGGAGGACCACCAGUGGCGAAGGCUGUCGGCUAGAACGCGCCCGACGGUGAGGGAUGAAAGCUGGGGGAGCGAACCGGAUUAGAUACCCGCGUAGUCCCUGG
rnacentral:rRNA from 1 species